rnacentral:lncRNA from 1 species
GGUACGUUAAUUAAUCACGUGAUGUGGAGGGCAAGAGUUGGAUUAAUCUCAAGUGAAGAUGAUGAAUGAACCUGAAGCUUGGAUGAUCUGAUCAAGUACCAGGAUCGGAUGAGAGAUGCUCCCCACGCGGACGUCAUCUAACAACACUGACUUAGUGUUAUCCCAGGCAAGCCCCGGUGCAUUUGCCACCUCCUUGUUGUUUUAAAACUUUUAUCACUUAUAUGCUGCAUUAGGUGAUAGGAGUUGAGUGAUGAAACAGUUGAUGCAUUGCCAUUCCUUGGAAUUUGAUUAUCCUCCUUGAUACCUGUUUUACAAAAAGAACUAAUGAGGCAUAGCCUUGCCUAGAGAAUUAAAACAUGUUUCUUUUUAAAAGAAUGAUGUGUGACACUGGGUAUGGGUUUGUUUUAUGAAAAAGGACUUGUAAUGGUGAGCGCAUCAUUGAAAGGGAAAUGUGCCCUUGGGCCAUUUCUAAGUAUUUUGGUGAUUUAGUGUCCAACACAAGUGCCUAAGUGGAAAAAGGUGGACAAAGUACAAAUCAAGGAUAAAGGUAUGUUUCUCAGACUUAGUACAUUGUUUUAUGGACUAAUGUAUUGUGUCUAAGUGCUGGAAAUAGGAAAAAUCCAAUUGAAAAUGUCUUGGCUCGAGCAGCCAAGACUCUGCUCAGUCUGGGUGCACCGGACAGUGUCUGGUGCGCCAGGCUAGCUCGAGCGAACUGGCCGCUCUCGGGAAUUCACCGGCGACGUACGACUAUAAUUCACCGGACUGUCCGGUGUGCACCGGACUGUCCGGUGAGCCAACGGUCGGCCGGGGCAACGGUCGGCCGCGCGAUCUGCGCGGGACACGUGGCCGAGCCAACGGCUAGAAGGAGGCACCGGACUGUCCGGUGUGCACCGGACAUGUCCGGUGCGCCAACGGCUCUCAGGCUGCCAACGGUCGACUGCGCCAUUUUUGGAAGGAAAUCGGGCACCGGACUGUCCGGUGCGCCAGUCGACAGAAGGCAAGAUCAGCCUUCCUAGAAUGCUCUCAACGGCUCCUAGCUGCCUUGGGGCUAUAAAAGGGACCCCUAGGCGCAUGGAGGAGUAUCUCAAGCAUCCCCUAAGCACUCCUAAGCACUAAGACAUCGAUUUCGCGCCUUUGAUUCUUUGCGAUAGCAAUUAGAGCUCUAGUUGAGUGGUGAACUCAUUGAGUUGUGUUGUGAGCUCUCGUUGCAACUUGUGUGCGUGGUGUUGCUGUGAUUUCUUGUCUUGAGUGCGUUGCUAAUCCCUCCCUUGUUCUGUGCUUCUUUGUGAACUUCAAGUGUAAGGGCGAGAGGCUCCAAGUUGUGGAGAUUCCUCGCAAACGGGAUUGAGAAAAGCAAGCAAAACACCAUGGUAUUCAAGUGAGUCUUUGGACCGCUUGAGAGGGGUUGAUUGCAACCCUCGUCCGUUGGGACGCCACAACGUGGAGUAGGCAAGCAUUGGUCUUGGCCGAACCACGGGAUAACCACCGUGCCAUCUCUGUGAUUGAUUUCUUGUGGUUAUUGUGUUUUGUUGAGACUCCUCUCUAGCCACUUGGCAUUUACUGUGCUAACGCUUAACCAAGUUUGUGUGGCUUAAGUUUUCAAGUUUUACAGGAUCACCUAUUCACCCCCCCUCUAGGUGCUCUCAAUUGGUAUCGGAGCCGUUCUCUUCACAAAGGGACUAACCGCCCGAAGAGAUGGAUCCUAAGGGGAAGGGUAUCGUGAUCAACGAUAAAGAGAAGGAAUCUUUCGUCAACGAGCCGAAGGAUGACAAGCCUACCGACUCGGGCUCGGGCCAUAGAUGGAAAGAUGGGAAGAAGAAGAAGACAAGGCGCAUCAAGGAGAUUGUCUACUACGACGACAGCGACGAGUCAUCUUCUUCCCAAAAGGACGACGACCACAACGACUACGAGAGAAGGAAACCGGUUAAUUCGAACUUUUCUUUUGACUACUCUCGUAUUCCGCAAAGUUCAAAUUCACAUUUGCUCUCCAUUCCUCUCGGCAAGCCUCCACACUUUGAUGGGGAGGACUACAGAUUUUGGAGCCACAAAAUGUGUAGUCACCUAUUCUCUCUCCAUCCUAGUAUAUGGGAGAUUGUAGAGAGUGGAAUGCACUUUGAUAGUACGGAUAGUCCCAUGUUCAUUAAUGAGCAAAUUCAUAAGAAUGCACAAGCUACUACUGUUCUUCUAGCUUCAUUGUGCAGGGAUGAAUACCACAAAGUGAGCGGCUUGGAUAACGCCAAGCAGAUCUGGGACACCCUCAAGAUUUCUCAUGAGGGGAACGACGUCACCUUGCUCACCAAAAUGGAGUUGGUGGAGGGCGAGCUUGGACGAUUUGCGAUGAUAAGGGGCGAGGAGCCGACACAAACAUACAACCGGCUCAAGACUCUUAUCAACAAAAUAAGGAGCUACGGAAGCACGCGAUGGACGGACCACGACGUCGUUCGACUGAUGCUAAGGUCCUUUACCGUUCUUGAUCCUCAUUUGGUGAAUAAUAUUCGUGAGAAUUCCAGGUACACCAAAAUGUCGCCCGAAGAAGUCCUUGGAAAAUUUGUAAGCGGGCGAAUGAUGAUCAAGGAGGCGAGGUACGUGGACGACGCUCUAAACGGUCCAAUCAAUGAGCCUCAACCCGUUGCUCUCAAGGCAACAAGGAGCAAGGAGGCGUUACCCAGCAAGGUAGCACAAAUUGAGGCGGCCGGACUUAAUGAUGAAGAGAUGGCCCUCAUCAUCAAAAGAUUCAAGACGGCGCUAAAGGGUCGCAAGGGGCAGCCAAGCAAGACCAAGACAAAGGGGAAGCGCUCAUGCUUCAAAUGUGGUAAGCUUGGUCAUUUUAUUGCUAACUGUCCCGACAAUGAUAGUGAUCAGGAUCAAGGGAACAAGAGGAAGAAGAAGAAGAACUAUAAGAAGGCAAAGGGCGAGGCACAUCUUGGCAAGGAGUGGGACUCCGACAAUGAAGGACUCGCUGCCACCGCCUUCAACAAGUCAUCCCUCUUCCCCAAUGAGCGUCACACAUGCCUUAUGGCAAGGGAGAAGAAGGUAUGUACUCGAAACUCUACUUAUGCUUCUUCAAGUGAGGACGAAUCUAGUGAUGAGGAUGAAAUAGAUUAUUCAUGUUUAUUUAAGGGCCUAGAUAGAACCAAGGUAGAUAAAAUUAAUGAAUUGAUUGAUGCCUUGAAUGAUAAGAAUAGGCUUUUAGAAAAACAAGAGGACGUGUUGUAUGAAGAACAUGACAAAUUUGUAGAAGCACAAAAAUCUCAUGCCUUAGAAGUUAAGAGAAAUGAAAUGCUUUCUUGUGAAUUAUCUUCUUGUCAUGAGACGAUUUCUAGCUUAAGGAGCAUUAAUGAUGAUUUGAAUGCUAAGUUAGAAAUAGCUAGUAAAUCAACAACUUGUGUAGAAAAUGUUGUUAUUUGCAAUAGAUGUAAAGAUUUUGAUAUUGAUGCUUGUAGUGAACACAUAGCUUCUAUUGCAAAGUUAAAUGAUGAAAUGGCUAGUCUUAAUGCCCAACUUAAGGCUAGCAAAAGUGAUUUUGAUAAACUAAAAUUUGCCAGGGAUGCCUACACGAUUGGUAGACACCCCUCCAUUAAGGAUGGGCUUGGCUUCAAGAGGGAAGCCAAGAACUUAACAAGCCAUAAGGCUCCCAUCUCCGCCAAGGAGAAAGGGAAGGCCCCUAUGGCAAGUAGUACUAAAAAGAACCAUGCUUUUAUGUACAAUGAUAGAAGACAGUCUCAUAGGAGUUGUAAUGCUUUUGAUUCACAUGCCUAUGAUUCUUAUGCUAUGUUUGCUUCCAGUUCUUCCUAUAUGCAUGGUAGAGAUAUGCCUAGGAAAAAUAUUCAUCAUGUGCCUAGAAAGAAUAUUGUUCAUGUUCCUAGGAAAGUUAUGAAUGGACCCUCUACAAUUUAUCAUGCUUUAAAUGCUUCCUUUGCUAUUUGUAGAAAGGAUAGGAAGAUAGUUGCUAGGAAAUUAGGGGCAAAAUGCAAGGGUGAUAAAACUUGCAUUUGGGUCCCUAAGACAAUUGUGACUAACCUUGUAGGACCCAACAAGAGUUGGGUACCUAAGACCCAAGCCUAAAUUUGCCUUGCAGGUUUAUGCAUCCGGGGGUUCAAGCUGGAUUAUCGACAGCGGAUGCACGAACCAUAUGACGGGGGAAAAGAAGAUGUUCACCUCCUACGUCAAGAAUAAGGAUUCCCCAGAUUCAAUCAUAUUCGGUGAUGGGAACCAAGGCAAGGUGAAAGGUUUAGGCAAGAUUGCAAUAUCAAAUGAGCACUCUAUCUCUAAUGUGUUUUUAGUUGAGUCUCUUGGAUAUAAUUUACUAUCUGUCAGUCAAUUAUGUAAUAUGGGAUAUAAUUGUCUAUUUACAAAUGUAGAUGUGUCUGUCUUUAGAAGAUGUGAUGGUUCACUAGCUUUUAAGGGUGUACUAGACGACAAACUUUAUUUAGUUGAUUUUGCAAAAGAGGAGGCCGAUCUAGAUACAUGCUUAAUUGCUAAGACUAGCAUGGGCUGGCUGUGGCAUCGCCGCUUAGCACAUGUGGGGAUGAAGAACCUUCACAAGCUUCUAAAGGGAGAACACGUGAUAGGUUUGACUAACGUGCAAUUCGAAAAAGAUAGACCUUGUGCAGCUUGUCAAGCAGGUAAACAAGUGGGAGGAGCACAUCACAGCAAGAAUGUGAUGACCACUUCAAGACCUCUGGAGCUGCUGCAUAUGGACCUCUUCGGACCCGUCGCCUAUCUGAGCAUCGGAGGAAGUAAGUAUGGUCUAGUUAUUGUUGAUGACUUUUCCCGCUUCACUUGGGUGUUCUUUUUGCAGGAUAAGUCUGAAACCCAAGGGACCCUCAAGCGCUUCCUAAGGAGAGCUCAAAAUGAGUUUGAGCUCAAGGUGAAGAAGAUAAGAAGCGACAAUGGGUCCGAGUUCAAGAACCUUCAAGUGGAGGAGUUCCUUGAGGAGGAGGGGAUCAAGCACGAGUUCUCCGCUCCCUACACACCUCAGCAAAAUGGUGUGGUAGAGAGGAAGAACAGGACGCUCAUUGAUAUGGCAAGGACUAUGCUUGGAGAGUUCAAGACCCCCGAGCGUUUUUGGUCGAAAGCCGUGAACACGGCUUGCCACGCCAUCAACAGGGUCUAUCUUCAGCGCCUCCUCAAGAAGACUUCAUAUGAGCUGCUAACUGGUAACAAACCCAAUGUAUCUUAUUUUCGUGUAUUUGGGAGCAAGUGUUAUAUUCUUGUGAAGAAAGGUAGAACCUCUAAAUUUGCUCCCAAAGUUGUAGAAGGGUUUUUAUUAGGUUAUGAUUCAAAUACAAAGGCGUAUAGGGUCUUCAACAAAUCAUCGGGUUUGGUUGAAGUCUCUAGCGACGUUGUAUUUGAUGAGACUAAUGGCUCUCCAAGAGAGCAAGUUGUUGAUCUUGAUGAUGUAGAUGAAGAAGACGGUCCAACGGCCGCGAUACGCACCAUGGCGAUUGGAGAUGUACGGCCUCAGGAACAAUUGGAGCAAGAUCAACCGUCUUCCUCAACUAUGGUGCAUCCCCCAACCCAAGAUGACGAACAUGUACCUCAAGUGGAGGCGCAUGAUCAAGGGGGAGCACAGGAUGUUCAAAUUGAAGAAGAAGAAGCACCUCAGGCACCUCCAACCCAAGUUCGAGCGACGAUCCAAAGGGAUCAUCCCAUCGACCAAAUUUUGGGUGAUAUUAGCAAGGGAGUAACUACUCGUUCAAGAUUAGUUAAUUUUUGUGAGCAUUACUCCUUUGUCUCUUCUAUUGAGCCUUUCAGGGUAGAAGAGGCCUUGCUAGAUCCGGACUGGGUGUUGGCCAUGCAGGAGGAACUCAACAAUUUCAAGCGCAAUGAAGUUUGGACACUGGUGCCUCACCCCAAGCAAAAUGUUGUGGGAACCAAGUGGGUGUUCCGCAACAAACAGGACGAGCACGGGGUGGUGACGAGGAACAAGGCUCGACUUGUGGCAAAAGGUUAUGCCCAAGUCGCAGGUUUGGACUUUGAGGAGACUUUUGCUCCUGUGGCUAGGCUAGAAUCAAUCCGUAUCUUGCUAGCAUAUGCCGCUCACCAUUCUUUCAGGUUGUACCAAAUGGAUGUGAAGAGCGCUUUCCUCAACGGGCCGAUCAAGGAGGAGGUGUACGUGGAGCAACCCCCUGGCUUCGAGGAUGAACGGUACCCCGACCACGUGUGUAAGCUCUCUAAGGCGCUCUAUGGACUUAAGCAAGCCCCAAGAGCAUGGUAUGAAUGCCUUAGAGACUUUUUAAUUGCUAAUGCUUUCAAGGUCGGGAAAGCCGAUCCAACUCUUUUUACUAAGACUUGCGAUGGUGAUCUUUUUGUGUGCCAAAUUUAUGUCGAUGACAUAAUAUUUGGUUCUACUAAUCAAAAGUCUUGUGAAGAGUUUAGCAGGGUGAUGACGCAGAAAUUCGAGAUGUCGAUGAUGGGCGAGUUGAACUACUUCCUUGGGUUCCAAGUGAAGCAACUCAAGGACGGCACUUUCAUCUCCCAAACGAAGUACACGCAAGAUUUUCUAAAGCGGUUUGGGAUGAAGGACGCCAAGCCCGCCAAGACGCCGAUGGGAACCGACGGACACACCGACCUCAACAAAGGAGGUAAGUCCGUUGAUCAAAAAGCAUACCGGUCCAUGAUAGGUUCUUUGCUUUAUUUAUGUGCUAGUAGACUGGAUAUUAUGCUUAGUGUAUGCAUGUGUGCUAGAUUUCAAUCCGAUCCUAAGGAGUGUCACUUAGUGGCUGUGAAGCGAAUUCUUCGAUAUUUAGUCGCUACGCCUUGCUUCGGGAUCUGGUAUCCAAAGGGGUCUAACUUUGACUUGAUUGGGUACUCAGAUUCCGACUAUGCUGGAUGUAAAGUCGAUAGGAAGAGUACAUUGGGGACGUGCCAAUUCUUAGGAAGGUCCCUGGUGUCGUGGAACUCUAAGAAACAAACUUCCGUUGCCUUAUCCACCGCUGAGGCCGAGUACGUUGCCGCAGGACAGUGUUGUGCGCAACUACUUUGGAUGAGGCAAACCCUCCGAGACUUUGGCUACAAUCUGAGCAAAGUCCCACUCCUAUGUGACAAUGAGAGUGCUAUCCGAAUAGCGGAAAAUCCUGUUGAGCACAGCCGCACAAAGCACAUUGACAUCUGGCAUCACUUUUUGAGAGACCACCAGCAAAAGGGAGAUAUCGAAGUGUUUCAUGUUAGCACCGAGAACCAGCUAGCCGAUAUCUUCACUAAGCCUUUAGAUGAAAAGACCUUUUGCAGGCUGCGUAGUGAGCUAAAUGUCCUAGAUUCGCGGAACUUGGAUUGAUUUAUAGCAUACAUGUAUUUAUGCCUUUGAUCAUGUUCCUUAUGCAUUUUGUUGGUUACUUGUGGUGCUCAAGUUGUACAAACACUCCCUGGACCUCACAAGUCCUUUUUGCAAGUGAUGCACAUAUUUAGGGGGAGCUGUGCUACAACUUGACCCUUUGAGACUAACUGUUUGCUUGAGUUUGCUUGAUUUAGUCUCAAAGGAGGUUUGAAAGGGAAAGGUGGACUUGGACCAUGAAAAACUUCCACUGCACUCCGAUGAGAGGGUAACUAAUUCCAAGUUUAUCUCACGUACUCUUAUUGCCUUUGUGUUCUCAUUUGAAGAUUUUGGUGAGGCAAUGGGGUUAAAGGGCCAAGAUUGAUCCCGUUUUGGUGCUUGAUGCCAAAGGGGGAGAAAAUAAAGGUCAAAUCAAUAGAUGGAUCAGCUACCACUUGAGAAAUUUAGAAAAUAGUAGAUUAGAGCUUUUGGUUUGUCAAAAGUUGGCUUCUUGUGGGAGAAGUGUUGAUUAUGGGAAAAAGGGGAGUUUUUGAAAUCUUGAAUCAAUUUCUCUUGGAAUGACUCUCUUUAUGUCUUAACAUGUGUGUUUGACUUAGAGAUAGAAAUUUGAGUUUGAUUUGCAAAAACAAACCAAGUGGUGGCAAAGAGUGAUCCAUAUAUGUCAAAUUUGAAUCAAAACAAUUUUGAGUUCUUAUUUGAAUUGAUUUUGUACUUGUUCUACUUGCUUUAUGUUGUGUUGGCAUAAAUCACCAAAAAGGGGGAGAUUGAAAGGGAAAUGUGCCCUUGGGCCAUUUCUAAGUAUUUUGGUGAUUUAGUGUCCAACACAAGUGCCUAAGUGGAAAAAGGUGGACAAAGUACAAAUCAAGGAUAAAGGUAUGUUUCUCAGACUUAGUACAUUAUUUUAUGGACUAAUGUAUUGUGUCUAAGUACUGGAAACAGGAAAAAUCCAAUUGAAA